AAGCCUCACCGGUCCUUUCACCGACUUAGCUCUCGCCAGAAGUGGAAAAUUAGCUUCACUGUAUAGCUUACUGAAAGCAACCUCAGCGGUUCAACCAUCUCUUCCACAAUGCUUUCUUCGGAUCGUAUGCCAUGUGUUGGACCCCUGGGUGAACCAGAUGGAGGAUGAUUGCUGUGUUUGAGCUUCAGUAGAAAGUCCCAGUGAUGAUGGUGCAGUGGCAACACCACAGUCUACCAUGGCAGGAUAAAAAAAAAGCUCUGACAAGAGGCCAGCUACCGUCUGCAUCUAGUCAUGGGUGAAAAUUCUUAAGGUUUAAGCUUGGGGAGAUUAACCUGGAAAGAACAUACUGCAGCAGCUGGAGCAGACACAGUUGCAGAUUGAGCAAGACGCCGCAAACAGCUGAUGAAAACUGAACCAGUGGAACAUUUUUCUGCUCCCUUUGAUGCCCAAACAGACUUGCUCUUAACUGUUUGUAUUUAGUUUGCCAUGUCUGAUCACUGCAAGUUUUUCAUCUGCCAGCAGCAUUUAUCUUGCACAACAUACAUCCAAGUAGUAUGAAUCAACAUGCUGUAUGUACAGUGUGUCAAACUGACACUAAUGUCUUAAAAAGAAAUAAAACUUUUCA